GCUUACGGCCAUUACCAGGCCCAAGAACGCCCGUCUCGUCUGAUCUCGGAAGCUAAGAAGGCUUGGGCCUGGUUAGUACUUGGAUGGGAGACCUCCUGGGAAUACCAGGUGCUGUAAGCU
ensembl:rRNA 5S_rRNA 5S ribosomal RNA